rfam:Bacillus sp. FJAT-22058 super1, whole genome shotgun sequence.
AUAAAGACUAUGAUGAGGAAUAGUAGCGGUUUAAACCAGUAAAGAGAGUUGACGGGUGGUGCAAGUCAACCUGGGACGGUCGCGAACUCGCCUUGGAGUCCCGGGUGUGAAUUAAUAAGUAAUGCCUGGCGUUUUAAUCCAUGUUACGGAUGUUUUAAGCUGGGCGGAUUUUAGCUAUCGCCAAUGUGGGUGGUACCGCGGGAAGAUAUACAUAAUCCUCUCGUCCCUAUU